CUGUCAACAACAGCAUCACCAGCUCAGUCCUGCCCAAGUCCUGAGGCACUGCCCUGCCUGUACCUAUGGUGAGCUGCCCUCAUGGAAUAUCUCUGCACUUCUCGGCCAUGGUACAGUCCACCAGUCCCUUCAGAGCCCUCUUUUGUGGAAAGACAGAGUGGAGUAACCUGCAUUAAAAAUGAACAUGUUCCAGUGGCCACAUUUUCUCUCAGCUGCAUUACAAUCUCGAUGUUCUCUUGGCUGGUCUUAGAAAAGCUGAUUGUCCAUUUAUCUUGUCAGAAGGAAUGCUGAAGCUAUUUCUGCUGUUGGCUGAAAAAGAUGCAUCAAAUUCUUCCUUAACACUUCCCUCUUUUGUGGUGUUAAUAUUCUUAAAAUAGUUCAAUGAUUUUGGACUCACAGCCAGGCCAGAAAGGGUGUUGCUGGUAAUGGAGCCUGUGCUUUUUGCUUUAGCAAUUUGUCCUGCGUCUUGCUUUCUUUCAUAGCUGAAAACAUCCAACUUGUUCUAGUUUUGGUCAAAGAUUAAAAUGUUAAGACAAAUGA